GUCCGUUUAUCAACAGAAAGGAUAUCUCUGCUGCAGACUUGUCACUAGGUCCGAAGCUGUACCAUAUGGAGAUCGCUUUGGGUCAUUAUAAGAAGUGGUCAGUCUCAGAUUCACUUCCCCAUCUGAAAAUAUACAUGAAGAUUGGGCCAGAUCGUCAAACUUUGUACUGGAGUGCUACAUGGCCAAAGGAAGUUGAGCAACUUGCAAGGCAGUUGCUUUAUAACCCUUACAAAGUAGUGAUUGGUUCUUCAGAAUUGAAAGCUAACCAUUCAAUUCACCAACAUGUGGAUAUUAUGACCGAAAAUCAAAAGUAUAGCAACUAAGUUAAAUCAUUUUUAUUGGUACCAACCAAGAUUCUUCACUACACUUUGUCAACUCACAAAUAUAGUUGAUUAAUUGAGUAUUCAGGUUACUUAACGAUUGAUAAAUGCUUAAUGAGGAAGGUCGAGUGGAUGUGGGACAAGUGACACUUACAACUACACGGUACCUGUCGGGUCGAAACGGUGAGAGACAUGUGGCGAUGUUACGAGUUAGUGCGUUUCGACGACGAACCGGUGGCAUAUGGCGGAGUUGCAAUCCGUCACACAUCAUGCGAGGCGGAAACGGAAAUUGACAAACUCGAAAGACAUACCCUUCUACUGAAACAUAAUAUAUUAGUGAAUUGGUAAAACGUUAUAUAGAGCUAGCAGGGCCAACCCUGAGAAUUCGUGUACCAUGUUCGAGCUCGAAAAAAACGUGCCCUUAGGUGGAGGAAUGUGGAGAGCUUUGAGUUUGAUGAGGAAGAACUUAAAUCUUUCAAACUCUUUUUGCUUUGACAGUAUUUGUUUUUGUUUCAUAUAAGUUAAGUUGGUUCUUUAAUAUGUACUCUUUUCUAUCAUUCACAUGUUAUAUGUAUUUGAUCAUGUAGCAGCAACCCGAUCAGUAUCCAAAGAAAGAGCCAAGAUAUAGAAUAAAAGGUCAAAGCUCAAUUGAGCCUGGUCUCUCAAGUUGAGAGUCAAAAUUGUUGGGCGGAAUAAUUUGAAAAACUUGAUGUCCAAAUUCUCUUAUGUCAUUCGUUUCAAAAAUAUACCCAAUCACCCAAUGUUCAUGUAGUAUUACUUGCCCUUUUGUAUUUGUACACAUAGAGGUCGAAAUUUCAAUUCUAUUU